AGAGACAAACUCUUAUUAUUACACCCACUGAGAUCAAUAAUUGUGGAAACUGAACCCACCCCAUUCCACUUACCUUUCAUAUCAGCACCUCUCAACUCUUCAUGAUCAACUCUUCAACAACUCUCAAGUCUUGGUCUUCCCUUUCACAUAGCAAGAGGGCUGCCUUGUAUGCUGGAAACACGAGUUUGAGAGUGAAAGGCCGAAAAGGUAAUUGGACCUUUUUGUUUGGAUGUAGAGGAAGUUUGACGGCUGCAUUCUGUGAGAUUGAAGUGAAGAAACCAUAAAAUCUAUCCCUUACAUCCAUCUGGAUCUGACAUUAUUUUUCAGGUAAAAUUCAUGUGAAACCAACCAACACGUACCUCAAUAUGUGAUGUUUAUAGCAUAGACAGCCUAGGAGAGAUGGAGCUUCAACAUUUCGAGCACAGGCAUCCAUUCUUCCUCCUUGAAGAGGCGAAACAACCUAUUUCAUGUCUACUGUGCAAGGAAAGAGUCUC